AAUGUCGUAACAAGGUUUCCGUAGGUAGAACCUGCGAAGGAUCUUUACAAAUUAAAGGCUGGUAGGAAAGAUGGGGGUCCUUGAUCUGUAAGUGGUACGAAGCCGAACAGGUCCGGCUGCCUCCCGAAACUGUUUACAUGUCCCCCACAGCCUGAAGGCCGAAUUACAACCCUUGAUUAUCUACACUUGUUGCUUUUCGGGGAUGCUCAAGUGCCCCGAGAGGACCCAACUCUCUUGCAUUUCAGUGACGUCUGAGUACUAUAUAAUAUUUAAAAG
rnacentral:misc_RNA from 1 species